UGAAGCUGCAAGUGAAAUUACAGAGAAGGUACCAUAUUUUUAUUUUCACUGAAGUUGCUAUAGUGUAUAGAACAUGAAGCUUUAUGGGAGAUCAAUGCCAGACUUAAGACGAUUUUAAGGCUAGAAAUAUGAUAGUGAUUAAAGGUUUUUUGUGAGUAAGCUGGAAUUGUUGCUGUUGAACUGGAAUUAAUCUCUGCACUCAUUCAGUGCUCAUCUUGCAGCUACAAUUACAAAAAGCAAUUCAACCUAUGUAUUACCUUCUCCAGCCUCUUUUGCUUCUCCUCUUUAAGAGAUUCCACAGUACUGUUGAGUCUUGCCAAAAUAGCAUCGCUUAUGUUCUUUGAUUGCUGUCUGCCCGAACCGUCCAAACUUGGAUGAACAUUUGUGAUAAUCUCUGAAGAAUCCAUGCCCAGAGUUGCAGAAAGUCGCUGAAGCUCGACCCGGUACUCAUCGAGUUUUUUCAGUGAGAGAUCAUUCUCAUUCACGGUAACAUCCAUUGGUGAAAUAUCAAGCUCUGGAUCGCCUGCUAUUUCUGCAGAAAUCUUCUGAAUUUGCAUUUGAACAGCUCGGAACUGGUUCACCCUCUCUUCCUUUCUCAGCUGCAUCUCCCUCAGCGCAGGCGUGAUUGCAUCAAGUUGCUCCUUCAGCGUCCCUGUCAUUUUCUCUGGCUGUUAUAAAGAAAAGUGCUCAGGAUCUGUAAUUCAAGAUGAGGAAUGUACCAAUGCUUGGCCGAAUUUUUUUUUGGAUCAGCAUCUUAUACAGUGGGCACCACCUUUGAGCGAUCCAGGCCGUUCAUCUCGGCUCCACUGUGGAUGCAUGAUGCCUGAAAUAUCUCAUCAGUAAUUUGCAUAAUGCUGAAAGUCCAUAUGCAAUGGAAAGGGUUCACAGAUUGGAUGGUUGGCAUUGUUUGUUGGAUAACUUUGAUCCAUCACAUACCCAAAUUGUGCCCACCAAAUGAACGACCUGGAUCACUAAAAGACAGCCCCCAUCUGUACAGGAUGCUAGCCAGAAUGAAAAUGCCAGGAAUCCAUGCAAAGGCCAUUCAUAAGAUAGGAGAGAUCAAUGAAUCAGCGCACCCGACAUGGGAAAGAUCGUUCUCCAAGGGACACUAGAAGAUGGGUGAAUUCGGCUUCUGAAUCUGCCAACGAUUGAUGCAGUCUAGCUCUAGAGAUAUUUGCAUUGUCGACUUUUCUCCUGUAGACAUCCAGACACUCCUGUUCCAGCUCAAGCAGAACCUUCUCUUUUUCAAGCUGAUCUUGUCCAACUUCAUCCCAAAUCAGCUAUUUCAAGGUCGACUAAAGUCUUGUGUGUGCGCUCUCUCUUUGAACCUUUUGUUACAACAGCCAUUACAUGACGUUCUUGAAGCAGAUACCCACAAGAUGACUCAAGCAAGGUGGAGCUGUGCAUUCUUGCUGGCAUAUCGAAUGAUCCCAUCAAUGGAAUUUUGAAUAUUAUGGACAGAUGGGGAAGAGCCAGCUGCUAAUUUUCAGGUC